rnacentral:rRNA from 1 species
UAACCUGCCCAAGAGAUCGGGAUAACACCUGGAAACAGAUGCUAAUACCGGAUAACAACAGAUGAUGCCUAUCAACUGUUUAAAAGAUGGUUCUGCUAUCACUCUUGGAUGGACCUGCGGUGCAGUAGCUAGUUGGUAGGGUAACGGCCUACCAAGGCGAUGAUGCAUAGCCGAGUUGAGAGACUGAUCGGCCACAUUGGGACUGAGACACGGCCCAAACUCCUACGGGAGGCAGCAGUC